rnacentral:rRNA from 1 species
UACGUAGGGUGCAAGCGUUGUCCGGAAUUAUUGGGCGUAAAGAGCUCGUAGGCGGUCUGUCGCGUCGGCUGUGAAAACCCGGAGCUCAACUCCGGGCCUGCAGUCGAUACGGGCAGACUGGAGUACUGCAGGGGAGACUGGAAUUCCUGGUGUAGCGGUGGAAUGCGCAGAUAUCAGGAGGAACACCGGUGGCGAAGGCGGGUCUCUGGGCAGUAACUGACGCUGGAGGAGCGAAAGCGUGGGGAGCGAACAGG